rnacentral:rRNA from 1 species
AUGUGACCAUACCAAACUGUUGCCUCGGCGGGGUCACGCCCCGGGUGCGUCGCAGCCCCGGAACCAGGCGCCCGCCGGAGGGACCAACCAAACUCUUUCUGUAGUCCCCUCGCGGACGUUAUUUCUUACAGCUCUGAGCAAAAAUUCAAAAUGAAUCAAAACUUUCAACAACGGAUCUCUUGGUUCUGGCAUCGAUGAAGAACGCAGCGAAAUGCGAUAAGUAAUGUGAAUUGCAGAAUUCAGUGAAUCAUCGAAUCUUUGAACGCACAUUGCGCCCGCCAGUAUUCUGGCGGGCAUGCCUGUCCGAGCGUCAUUUCAACCCUCGAACCCCUCCGGGGGUCCGGCGUUGGGGAUCGGGAACCCCUAAGACGGGAUCCCGGCCCCGAAAUACAGUGGCGGUCUCGCCGCAGCCUCUCAUGCGCAGUAGUUUGCACAACUCGCACCGGGAGCGCGGCGCGUCCACGUCCGUAAAACACCCAACUUCUGAAAUGUUGACCUCGGAUCAGGUAGGAAUACCCGCUGAACUUAAGCAUAUCAAUAA